GUCGCCUCCUGCCCAAUCGAUCUCUCUCUCCCGCACAUGUCUCCCUCGUCCGCCGCCGCCGCAAGCAAUCCUUCCCCGCCCUCUCACCUCCUCUCCCACCUCCUUCCACUCCCUCCUCUCACCUCCUCCUUCCACUCCGACCUCCACUGAGCCGCUGCCAUGGCGAUUGAGCUGCCAUUCGUCCCUCUCUCCCUCCUCGCGCCCGGAACACUAGCUCGUGGACAUGCCGACCGUACGCGCCGCAGGCAGGGCAAAAACUGCAGCACCCCAACACAUCGACAAGGGAGAUUGGCGAAGAUUGGACGGGGAUGGACGAGCUAGACAUGGAUGGCGUCAACGUGGCCAAGCCCGAGUUCGCGUGCCCUACUGUACGUGGAGCACACCUUCGAGCCCCAUGCCUGGGCAGUAUCCUAAUUAACUUGCCGCUUCUUGGAUUAUUAAUUAGAGAGACAAGAUCAAUGAAGUUUGUAGUAUACUUUGAUUUUUUUUUACUGCUUGAGAAAGAACUAGAGCUCUUUCUUAUAGGGGCGUUCACGUGGACCGAACAGAGUCUUCUUUUUUGCAUCUUGAAGUACACAUAUCGUUUGAUUUGAUAGAAUAUCAUAGUCUAAUUUGUUGAGAUUCUGAGUCUAUAAUCUAUAGACGGUUGGAAUUACGAUCAGUUAAUCGCUCCCCUCAUUUUUGUACAUUAUUCUCACAUAGAAAAUACUGUUUGUUCCUCUUUUUUUUCAAGUUCACACAUUGUUGCAGACUUGCUGUUGCUGGUAGCUUCACUAGCCGAACAAAGUCGCUGACAUAUUCGAGUUCUAGGUCACCGACUCAAUUUAUAGUUAUUUGAUCGCUAAUUUCUUGCUUUAGUUGUCUUUUUAUGUGCUUAGUUGUCUUUUUAUGUGCUUAGUUAUCUUUUUGGCUGUUCCAGUGUGUUUGGGGUGUUGCAUAUGAUGAAGUCAUUCACUACUGGUUUCGAUUUUGAUGUUUUAUCUCCUAGAAUCUCAGAAGUGCAUUUAGUUGGAAACAUGCUGGUAGCAUUGAGUUAGUUUGCUGCUUGGAUAUCAUACCAUACUAGCUCUAAUGUUCAUGUGUAUGAUUUUUCCAGGGUCUUAUUCUGAAUAAUAGUGCAAGGUACUUUGAGUAAAUGGUCUGCAAGUCAGUGCAUCUGGAGUGCUAGGAUGUGUGGGGACAAAAAGAACUACUUUUGAAAAUUUGCAAAGAUGCCAUUGCAUAGGCCCGUUGGCAGACAAAUCAAAGGAGGCUUUCAUUUGAUGAGUUGCCUAAAAGAAGUUCCAACACUCAGAGGUGACAACCACACUGAGUGGAGGAAGAAAGUUGAACUGGCGUUUUUGUUUGUGCUGAUCUUGACUGGGUUGUGGAGAAACCACAGCCGGUCAGACCCACAGAGCCAGUAAGAGAGGCUACUGACGAUGAUGCUGCAUGGGCUAAAAAGAGAGGGGACUAUGCUCCUUUGGAGCAGUCCUACCUCAUAGAUAAUCAAAAGUGGGUCAAUGCAAAUAAAAAAAUGCAUGGCCUUUAUAAAGAACACCAUUGAGAGCGCCAUUGUGGGCUCCAUUGCAGAGUGCACUUCCGCAGGGGAGUUGCUCUCAAAGAUAAAGAGCCAGUUCACUGGCUCUUCAAAGAUAUAUGCCACCCAGGUGUUAGAGCAACUGGUGACAGAAAAAUACACAGGUGGCAGUCAUGGCAUAAGAGAGCACAUCCUCAGGAUGAGCAAUAUGGCUGCAAAGCUCAAACCAAUGGAUGCGGAUCUGGAGAUCAAACCAGCGCUCCUGGUCCACCUUGUCAUGGCUUCAUUGCCGAAGGAGUUUGAAGCUUUUGUAGUGAACUAUAAUAUGUCACCUGAAACAUGGGACGUAGAAAAGACAAUAGCAAUGUGUGUUCAAGAAGAGGAGAGACUAAAAGCCUCACAUGGUGGUACACUCAACUAUGUGCAUGGUCACAAAAGAAAGAAUUACAAUCUAAACAACAAAAGUUCUCCUUCAAAGCCACAAGGAAAAGUUUCCUAUCAGCAUCAGCGUCAGCAACAACUUUUCUCAGUGGACAAAGACACUUGUCUUCACUGUAAGAAGACCGGGCAUUACAAGAAAGACUAUCCCGUUUGGCUAAAGUCGAUCAUGGCAAAAAGAGGGAUUCCAUUCGACGCGGACUACGCUAAGAAGCGAAAGACGCAUUGAAGUGGCGAACGGAGUUGAAGCAGAAGUUGAAGCUGUCGGUGAUAUCUCCUUGGAGUUAGCUGAUGGAUUCAAUCUUCUACUUAGAGAUGUUUUAUUCGUUCCAUCAUGUAAUAGAAACUUAAUAAGUGUUUCUUGCUUGGACAAAGAUAAUUAUGAGUGUUAUUUUGGACAUGGCAAGUGUGCCAUUUGGUUAAAUAAUGCUUAUGUGGGUGAUGCUUUACUACAUGAUGAGCUUUAUUUGUUAUCACUUCGUGAAAAAGUCUAUUCCGUUUGCAAUGUGAAAGAACAUGUUUCUGCGUCGAAUAAAGUACAAAAGAAAAGAAAAAGAACAUUUGACUCAUCGAAACUAUGGCACUGUCGCUUGGGCCAUAUUUCGAAGGGGAGAAUAGAAAGAUUAGUCAAAAGUGAAAUUCUUCCUCCGUUAGAAUUUUCAGACAUAGAACAAUGCAUAGAUUGCAUUAAAGGAAAGUACGUAAAACAAAUCAAAAAAGGUGCAAUCCAUAGCACAGGCACACUAGAAAUCAUUCACACUGAUAUUUGUGGACCAUUUUCGAUGAAAAGUGUGGAUGGAUAUGACUCAUUCAUCACAUUCACAGAUGAUUACUCUCGCUAUGGUUAUAUUUAUCCAAUCAAAGAAAGAUCGGAAGCGUUGGAUAAAUUUAAAAUAUUCAAAGCUGAAGUUGAAAAUCAGCACGAUAAAAGAAUAAA